rnacentral:rRNA from 1 species
GGUGGUUUCGGCCAUUCAGUGGCGGACGGGUGAGUAUCGCGUAGGGAUUUGUCGUUGGGUGGGGGAUAACCUUGGGAAACUGGGGCUAAUACCGCAUGACGCCUUUGGGCCAAAGCUUUUGGGUGCCUGACGAGGAGCCUGCGUCCGAUUAGGUAGUUGGUUGGGUAAUGGCUGACCAAGCCUGCGAUCGGUAGCUGGUCUGAGAGGAUGAUCAGCCACACUGGGACUGAGACACGGCCCAG